ACUAGUGAUGAUAGGUAGCUAGUUGAUACAGUUAGCUUAGCUAACGUUACUGUAAUCUUGUUAAGAGAGGCCCGUGGAAAUCCAAAUUAAGUAGGUUGUGAUGUAAUCAGGACAAUACUAGGCCAUAACGUUAACACUGAAGGGUUCGUUUUUUGUUAGCUUAGUCAGAGAUAUUAGAAAGGGAUAUCUUAGUUAGCUUGUUCAAUUCCCGUGUCUCAGUAGCAGGCCUACAGACCGCUCGCUCCCUGUAGGCGCACGCUACGACGACCUCAAAAACGACGGAGUCCUUAGAUUUGUGGUCAACAGGAGCUUCGUGUGAAAUACAUUACUUUAUAAAGGCGUGCAUUCACACGGUGUGAAAAAAAAAAAAAAAAAAACGAAUACGUUUUACCUCUUUUAUUCGGUUGUCAAGGUGCGCGGGAUCUUUCUUUCCCAGGAUCCAGAACAAACACCUCUCGUCGUCGGUGACGUCAUGCGCAGACAGAACGUGAAAGGGAGAUUUUCCCAACUGAUGAGAAGAUGCAUAGGAAAGAGCUGGAAGACUUCAAAGAGCGGAUGCGAGACCGGAAGGAGCGGCGGCUACUGAAACGGAUGGCCUUGGAUGAGGCUGAGAAGGAGGGAGGAGGACAGUUCAGAGAGACAAUCAGAGUAGGACGAUGCCCAAUCAGAAGCCUUGUUGUUCCACAGGAGGGGGGAGCAGUUUCACUGUCAGGCCUGUGGACUGGAACAUGUUCCCUGUCACAAAAGGCACCCUAUUACCUAUUUAGUAUACUACUUUGACCAUUGCCCAUAGGGCUAUGGUAAAACGUAGUGCACUUUAUAGGAAAAGGGGUGCCAUUUGGGGUUGGAGAAUUUUGGAUGCCGUGGAGCAUGUAGGCUAUACUAUACACCCUUUGGGAGGGUGUGCUGGAGGGGGACCUUAAAGUUACCCCUUUGAACUGAAAAGUCUCACUGAAAAGCUUUUUAUGAAAUGCUUUAUUUCACUGCAGUCAAACCACGACUUGACUGUUGAUGAUCUGCUCUGUGAUGGUGUUGAUGUAAACCUUGUGUGUGUGAUUGUCUCAAAAGAUGUGUGAAUGAAAUAUGAGAACAGAAUCAUAUGGCUUGGAAUGUUAUUUAUUUUUUAUGAUUUAGAAUACAUGUCUUUUGUAAAUGUAUGUUUCAACUCUGUCCUUAAUUAAAGUUUA